UGGUGGGGUAUUCUAAAAAUGAUAAAGUAUACAUAGAGGUUAUGAGUGAUCAAUAAGGAAUCAAUCACUCCUAAUAAGGAGAGCAAACAUCCUAUGUGAUCUCAUAGGAUGAUGAUUCUGGAAGUCUUUGGCCAAAGCAGGAUGAUAAUUAGAAAAGAGUUUCUAAUAUAUUAUUAACUAAAUCAUCACCUUCAGAUCAAGAUACAUAAAGAUAAAUGAUUGAAUUUGACAUAUUUUUAUGCCCACAGCUCAUCUGGGAUGUUGUUUG
rnacentral:lncRNA from 1 species